ACUCUGGAGGAAGAUGAGAUGGUCUCAUACAUAUUAGCAGGUCUCGACUUCGACUAUAACCCGCUAGUAUCUGCCAUUGAGGCAAAGACCGAAUCCAUC
rnacentral:ncRNA from 1 species